GAGCUGUGGAUAGGGGUGAAAGGCUAAACAAACUCGGAGAUAGCUGGUUCUCCCCGAAAACUAUUUAGGUAGUGCCUCGAGCAAGACACUGAUGGGGGUAAAGCACUGUUAUGGCUAGGGGGUUAUUGCAACUUACCAACCCAUGGCAAACUAAGAAUACCAUCAAGUGGUUCCUCGGGAGACAGACAGCGGGUGCUAACGUCCGUUGUCAAGAGGGAAACAACCCAGACCGCCAGCUAAGGUCCCAAAUGAUAGAUUAAGUGGUAAACGAAGUGGGAAGGCCCAGACAGCCAGGAUGUUGGCUUAGAAGCAGCCAUCAUUUAAAGAAAGCGUAAUAGCUCACUGGUCGAGUCGUCCUGCGCGGAAGAUGUAACGGGGCUCAAAUCUAUAACCGAAGCUGCGGAUGCCAGUUUACUGGCAUGGUAGGGGAGCGUUCUGUAGGCUGAUGAAGGUGCAUUGUAAAGUGUGCUGGAGGUAUCAGAAGUGCGAAUGUUGACAUGAGUAGCGAUAAAGCGGGUGAAAAGCCCGCUCGCCGAAAGCCCAAGGUUUCCUACGCAACGUUCAUCGGCGUAGGGUGAGUCGGCCCCUAAGGCGAGGCAGAAAUGCGUAGUCGAUGGGAAACAGGUUAAUAUUCCUGUACUUGAUUCAAAUGCGAUGUGGGGACGGAGAAGGUUAGGUUAGCAAGCUGUUGGAAUAGCUUGUUUAAGCCGGUAGGUGGAAGACUUAGGCAAAUCCGGGUCUUCUUAACACCGAGAAGUGAUGACGAGUGUCUACGGACAUGAAGUAACCGAUACCACGCUUCCAGGAAAAGCCACUAAGCUUCAGUUUGAAUUGAACCGUACCGCAAACCGACACAGGUGGGCAGGAUGAGAAUUCUAAGGCGCUUGAGAGAACUCGGGAGAAGGAACUCGGCAAAUUGAUACCGUAACUUCGGGAGAAGGUAUGCCCUCUAAGGUUAAGGACUUGCUCCGUAAGCCCUGGAGGGUCGCAGAGAAUAGGUGGCUGCGACUGUUUAUUAAAAACACAGCACU
rnacentral:rRNA from 1 species